rfam:Chelonia mydas contig174305, whole genome shotgun sequence.
GUCAGGGUGGCGGAGAGGUCCAAGGCGCUGUGUUAAGGUCGCAGUCUCCCCCGGAGACGUGGGUUUGAAUCUCACCCCUGACA